rnacentral:rRNA from 1 species
UACGAAGGGUGCAAGCGUUGCUCGGAAUUAUUGGGCGUAAAGGGUAGGUAGGUGGUCUCAUUUGUCUGGGGUGAAAGCCUUGAGCUUAACUCAAGAAGUGCCCCAGAAACGGUGAGACUGGAGUCCUGGAGAGGGUCGUGGAAUUCCCGGUGUAGCGGUGAAAUGCGUAGAGAUCGGGAGGAACACCAGAGGCGAAAGCGGCGACCUGGACAGGCACUGACACUCAACUACGAAAGCGUGGGGAGCAAACAGG